GUCUUGUUGACUCAAUUGGCAGAGCGUUGGUCACAUAGUCCGAAGAUCGUGAGCUCGAGCCCCACACAGGACA